rfam:Vogesella sp. EB contig00053, whole genome shotgun sequence.
GGCGGGUCUCCCCGCAUUGUGCGAUGGUCAACCUGGUCAGGUCCGGAAGGAAGCAGCCACAGCCGUUUAGCGCAAGUGCCGGGGGUCGGGCUCGCCACC